GAUGAACGCUAGCGGCAGGCUUAAUACAUGCAAGUCGUGGGGCAGCAGGGUUGUAGCAAUACAAUCGCUGGCGACCGGCAAACGGGUGCGUAACACGUACGCAACCUUCCCGUUACUGUGGCAUAGCCCAGGGAAACUUGGAUUAAUACCACAUAUUAUAUUGAGGGGGCAUCCCUUUGAUAUCAAAGCUUCGGCGGUAACGGAUGGGCGUGCGGUUGAUUUGGUAGUUGGCGGGGUAACGGCCCCCCAAGCCUACGAUCAAUAGCUGAUGUGAGAGCAUGAGCAGCCAAACGGGAACUGGGACACGGGCCCGACUCCUACGGGAGGCAGCAGUAAGGAAUAUUGGGCAAUGGACGAAAGUCUGACCCAGCCAUGCCGCGUGAAGGAUUAAGGUCCUCUGGAUUGUAAACUUCUUUUCUCUGGGGCGAAAACCAGCUAUUCUUAGCUAUUUGACAGUACCAGAGGAAUAAGCACCGGCUAACUCCGUGCCAGCCGCCGGUGUAAGAC
rnacentral:rRNA from 1 species